rnacentral:misc_RNA from 1 species
GAUGAAGAACGUAGCGAAAUGCGAUAAGUAGUGUGAAUUGCAGAAUUCAGUGAAUCAUCGAAUCUUUGAACGCACAUUGCGCCCCUUGGUAUUCCAUGGGGCAUGCCUGUUCGAGCGUCAUUUGUACCUUCAAGCUUUGCUUGGUGUUGGGUGUUUGUCCCGAGGGACUCGCCUUAAAGUAAUUGGCAGCCAGUGUUUGGUUUUGAAGCGCAGCACAAGUCGCGAUUCAAGGCUACACGCCCGCUUCCACAAGCCUUUUUUCACUUUUGACCUCGGAUCAGGUAGGGAUACCCGCUGAACUUAAGCAUAUCAAUAAGCGGAGG